UACGAAGGGUGCAAGCGUUACUCGGAAUUACUGGGCGUAAAGCGUGCGUAGGUGGUUUGUUAAGUCUGCUGUGAAAUCCCCGGGCUCAACCUGGGAAUGGCAGUGGAUACUGGCAAGCUAGAGUGCGGUAGAGGGUAGUGGAAUUCCCGGUGUAGCGGUGAAAUGCGUAGAUAUCAGGAGGAACACCUGCGGUGUAGACGGCUUUCUGGACCAUUGCUGACGCUGAGACACGAAAGCGUGGGUAGCAAACAGG
rnacentral:rRNA from 1 species